CCUACGGGGGGCUGCAGUCGAGGAUCUUUCGCAAUGAGCGCAAGCUUGACGGAGCGACACUGUGUGAGUGAUGAAGGCCUUCGGGUUGUAAAGCUCUUUUGUUUGGGAACGGGUACCAGAAGAAAAAGUACCGGCUAACUACGUGCCAGCAGCUGCGGUAAUACGUAGGGUACAAGCAUUAAUCGGAAUUAUUGGGCGUAAAGGGCGCGUAGGCGGGGAUGUAAGUCAGGUGUGAAAUACCAAAGCUCAACUUUGGUGCUGCAUUUGAAACUGCAUUUCUUGAGGACUGACGGAGAAAGCGGAAUUCCAUGAGUAGCGGUGAAAUGCGUAGAUACAUGGAGGAACACCGGUGGCGAAAGCGGCUUUCUAUUUUACCUGACGCUGAGGCGCGAGAGCAAGGGGAGCAAACAGGAUUAGAUACCCUUGUAGUC
rnacentral:rRNA from 1 species